GCCAGGUGUGGUGGUGCACGCCUGUAAUCCCAGCAGCUUGGGAGGCUGAGGCAGGAGGACUGAGAGUUCAAAGCCUUAGCAACUUAGCAAGAUCUUGUCUCAA
rnacentral:sRNA from 1 species